CCAUGGCCAGGGAGCCAGGUGAGAGGGAAGAUGCAGGUCUGCCUUUGGUCAGGCCAUGGGACAAAGGGACCCAGAGGGCUGGGGUGCUGGUGAAAGUGGCUCAACUGCACAGGACUCACAGGGACUGUGGUGACCAUUCCAGAUGAAGAGCUGGUGCCAACCAGUCCAUCAGGGCAGGUGCUGGAGAGCCACCGGAAGGUUAUAUGCUGGGCGCCUCCUGUGGGAAGGCUGGCAUUUGGAAAGACCUUGACAUUUAGAAGGCCCCAACCUAGGACUGGCAUUUGGAAAGAUCCUCUUGGCUGCAGUGUGGAAGCUGGCUAGAGCCAGGCCCGGAGGGAGGCAGGAAGCCAGGAGGCCAGCACAGAGGCCACAGGGUGAUUCUAGCCAGAGAUGGGGCGGCCUGAACCUGGACAGAAGUUGAGAAAAAAGAUUUGAGGAGUCACUGGCUAGGCAAACUUUCUCAUGAGCUGCUCCCUAGAAGGGACAUAGAUAGCACAGCUAAUCAAGCGCCACAUCUGUGGGCAAGGGCUCUGCACCAGGUGAAUGCUUUGCCACAUUUCCGAUUCCAGGAACCGGCUGGAAUAACAGGAGAUGCUCACCUCCAGGAGCCUGGCUGCAGGACUACUUGGCAAGACGAGUCCUCUGCCGAAUGGAAAGUCCUGCUGUUGUGCUUCAAGUGAGCUUCCCUUGGAGGGCUCGCUGCCCAGGAAGUCAGUGCGGGGCUGCAGUGUGGAAGGCUCAGGACCAGAGCCUGGCUGCUUUGAGUGGGAGCCAGCUGAGGCUGUGCAGGGGGACCCGAGCAUGCUUCACGGCCACUCUGGGCUGCAUUGAGGAGAAGACACUGUGUUGGUGGGAAACGCUGCUGUCUGUCCUGGGCAGUGAACAGAGAAAGGCCUAGGAGCUAAAACAGCUGCUCUGUCACUUGGGCUCCUGCUAACCCUAGGCCACUGAACUGGCUCUGUGUCCUUAUCUGAAAAAUGAAGAUCUACAUAGUACACCUUCGAGAAUAAGCCACAUGAAGAAAGACUGCUAGUACUAUGCGCAGGGCCUUAUAGGAAGGGCCAGUUAUUGGUUGAAGGGUCAUGGCUGUCUAACAACCAUAACUCCCAAGAGGUUGGGGAGGUGGAGAGGAGACAGAAGGCCAGCUAUCAAAUGAAAGGGCAAGCAGAGAAUGAACUUACCCUGGGGCAGGCAUGGUGGCGCACGCCUGGGACCCCAACACUCAGGAAGCUUAGGCAGGAAUAUCAAUGUCAAUUCAGGUAUAGCCUGGGCUACACAGGGAGUUCAAGACCAGCCAGAACUACCUAUUGAGACCUCAUCUCAAAAAACAAACACAAAACAAACUAACAAAAAGAAUAAACUUACUACAAUAAAGGCAUGCUUACUUUAUCCAUCCAGUUAUCUAGGAUAAAGAUGGCUCCUGAGUACUUGUUCACCAAAUGUACACAGAUUAAAUCUUCUCAAUGACUCAA